AUUGAACGCUGGCGGCAGGCCUAACACAUGCAAGUCGAACGGUAACAGGAAGCAGCUUGCUGCUUUGCUGACGAGUGGCGGACGGGUGAGUAAUGUCUGGGAAACUGCCCGAUGGAGGGGGAUAACUACUGGAAACGGUAGCUAAUACCGCAUAACGUCGCAAGACCAAAGAGGGGGACCUUAGGGCCUCUUGCCAUCGGAUGUGCCCAGAUGGGAUUAGCUAGUAGGUGGGGUAACGGCUCACCUAGGCGAUGAUCCCUAGCUGGUCUGAGAGGAUGACCAGCCACACUGGAACUGAGACACGGUCCAGACUCCUACGGGAGGCAGCAGUGGGGAAUAUUGCACAAUGGGCGCAAGCCUGAUGCAGCCAUGCCGCGUGUAUGAAGAAGGCCUUCGGGUUGUAAAGUACUUUCAGCGGGGAGGAAGGGAGUAAAGUUAAUACCUUUGCUCAUUGACGUUACCCGCAGAAGAAGCACCGGCUAACUCCGUG
rnacentral:rRNA from 1 species